rnacentral:rRNA from 1 species
GACGAACGCUGGCGGCGUGCUUAACACAUGCAAGUCGAGCGGAGCGGCGAACGGGUGAGUAACGCGUGAGUAACUGCCCCCCUCUCUGGGAUAACAGUUGGAAACGGCUUCUAAUACCGGAUAGUGGGGGAUGACUCGGGUCCUAUCAGCUUGUGGGUGGGGUAGUGGCUUACCAAGGCGACGACCGGUAGCCGGCCUGAGAGGGCAACCGGCCACAUUGGGCUGAGAUACGGCCCAAACUCCUACGGGAGGCAGCAGUGGGGAAGAUUGCACAAGGGGGGAAACCCUGAUGCAGCAACGCCGCGUGCGGGAUGACGGCCUUCGGGUUGUAAACCGCUGUCAGCCAGGACGCGGUAGUGGCAGAAGAAGCACCGGCUAACGACGUGCCAGCAGCCGCGGUAAUUC